rnacentral:rRNA from 1 species
GAUGAACGCUGGCGGCGUGCCUAAUACAUGCAAGUCGAGCGAACGGACGAGAAGCUUGCUUUUCUGAUGUUAGCGGCGGACGGGUGAGUAACACGUGGAUAACCUACCUAUAAGACUGGGAUAACUUCGGGAAACCGGAGCUAAUACCGGAUAAUAUUUUGAACCGCAUGGUUCAAAAGUGAAAGACGGUCUUGCUGUCACUUAUAGAUGGAUCCGCGCUGCAUUAGCUAGUUGGUAAGGUACGGCUUACCAAGGCAACGAUGCAUAGCCGACCUGAGAGGGUGAUCGGCCACACUGGAACUGAGACACGGUCCAGACUCCUACGGGAGGCAGCAGUAGGGAAUCUUCCGCAAUGGGCGAAAGCCUGACGGAGCAACGCCGCGUGAGUGAUGAAGGUCUUCGGAUCGUAAAACUCUGUUAUUAGGGAAGAACAUAUGUGUAAGUAACUGUGCACAUCUUGACGGUACCUAAUCAGAAAGCCACGGCUAACUACGUG